UACGUAGGUGGCAAGCGUUAUCCGGAAUUAUUGGGCGUAAAGCGCGCGCAGGUGGUUUCUUAAGUCUGAUGUGAAAGCCCACGGCUCAACCGUGGAGGGUCAUUGGAAACUGGGAGACUUGAGUGCAGAAGAGGAAAGUGGAAUUCCAUGUGUAGCGGUGAAAUGCGUAGAGAUAUGGAGGAACACCAGUGGCGAAGGCGACUUUCUGGUCUGUAACUGACACUGAGGCGCGAAAGCGUGGGGAGCAAACAGG
rnacentral:rRNA from 7 species